rnacentral:rRNA from 1 species
UUCCGUAGCUUGACCUGCGGAGGGAUCAUUACCGAGUUUACAACUCCCAAACCCCUGUGACAUACCUAUACGUUGCCUCGGCGGAUCAGCCCGCGCCCCGUAAAACGGGACGGCCCGCCCGAGGACCCCUAAACUCUGUUUUUAGUGGAACUUCUGAGUAAAACAAACAAAUAAAUCAAAACUUUCAACAACGGAUCUCUUGGUUCUGGCAUCGAUGAAGAACGCAGCAAAAUGCGAUAAGUAAUGUGAAUUGCAGAAUUCAGUGAAUCAUCGAAUCUUUGAACGCACAUUGCGCCCGCCAGUAUUCUGGCGGGCAUGCCUGUUCGAGCGUCAUUUCAACCCUCAAGCUCAGCUUGGUGUUGGGACUCGCGGUAACCCGCGUUCCCCAAAUCGAUUGGCGGUCACGUCGAGCUUCCAUAGCGUAGUAAUCAUACACCUCGUUACUGGUAAUCGUCGCGGCCACGCCGUAAAACCCCAACUUCUGAAUGUUGACCUCGGAUCAGGUAGGAAUACCCGCUGAACUUAAGCAUAUCAAUAGUCCGGAGGAAAC